UUUCCUGGGGAAGGCUCGUCCUCCCAGGGUUAGUCGGGACCUAAGCUGAGGCCGAUAGGCGUAGGCGAUGGACAACAGGUUGAUAUUCCUGUACCAGUUGCUUUUGUUUGAGCGAUGGAGGGACGCAGGAGGCUAAGGAAUGCACACGAUCGGAAAUGUGUGUCCAAGCAGCAAGUCUGAGAACGAGUGAAAUGCUUUUUCUCUCAAGGACAAGCUGUGAUGGGGAGCGAAAUUUAGUAGCGAAGUUCCUGAUGUCACACUGCCAAGAAAAGCUUCUAGUGAGAAAGUAACUGCCCGUACCGCAAACCGACACAGGUAGUUGAGGAGAGAAUCCUAAGGUGUGCGAGAGAACUCUCGUUAAGGAACUCGGCAAAAUGACCCCGUAACUUCGGGAGAAGGGGUGCUGACCGCAAGGUCAGCCGCAGUGAAUAGGCCCAAGCGACUGUUUAUCAAAAACACAGGUCUCUGCAAAAUCGAAAGAUGACGUAUAGGGGCUGACGCCUGCCCGGUGCUGGAAGGUUAAGAGGAGAGGUUAGCGCAAGCGAAGCUUUGAAUUGAAGCCCCAGUAAACGGCGGCCGUAACGAUAACGGUCCUAAGGUAGCGAAAUUCCUUGUCGGGUAAGUUCCGACCCGCACGAAAGGCGUAACGAUUUGGGCACUGUCUCAACGAGAGACUCGGUGAAAUUAUAGUACCAGUGAAGAUGCUGGUUACCCGCGACAGGACGGAAAGACCCCAUGGAGCUUUACUGCAGUUUGAUAUUGCGUGUUUGUAUCACAUGUACAGGAUAGGUAGGAGCCGAAGAUACCGGGACGCCAGUCUCGGAGGAGGCAACGGUGGGAUACUACCCUUGUGAUAUGACCACUCUAACCCGCUGCUCUUAGCGAGCAGGGAGACAGUGUCAGACGGGCAGUUUGACUGGGGCGGUCGCCUCCAAAAAUGUAACGGAGGCGCCCAAAGGUUCCCUCAGAAUGGUUGGAAAUCAUUCGUAGAGUGUAAAGGCAGAAGGGAGCUUGACUGCGAGACCUACAAGUCGAGCAGGGACGAAAGUCGGGCUUAGUGAUCCGGUGGUUCCGCAUGGAAGGGCCAUCGCUCAACGGAUAAAAGCUACCCUGGGGAUAACAGGCUUAUCUCCCCCAAGAGUUCACAUCGACGGGGAGGUUUGGCACCUCGAUGUCGGCUCAUCGCAUCCUGGGGCUGUAGUCGGUCCCAAGGGUUGGGCUGUUCGCCCAUUAAAGCGGUACGCGAGCUGGGUUCAGAACGUCGUGAGACAGUUCGGUCCCUAUCCGUCGCGGGCGUUGGAAAUUUGAGAGGAGCUGUCCUUAGUACGAGAGGACCGGGAUGGACACACCGCUGGUGUACCAGUUGUUCUGCCGAGAGCAUCGCUGGGUAGCUAUGUGUGGACGGGAUAAACGCUGAAAGCAUCUAAGCGUGAAGCCCCCCUCAAGAUGAGAUUUCCCAUCACUUUAAGUGAGUAAGACCCCUGAGAGAUGAUCAGGUAGAUAGGUUGGGAGUGGAAGUACAGCGAUGUAUGGAGCGGACCAAUACUAAUCGGUCGAGGACUUAACC
rnacentral:rRNA from 1 species